CGCGUGUACUGGUCCGGCCGGGCCUUUCCUUCUGGAGAUCCCCAUGCCCUUCACUGGGUGUGUGGGGGAACCAGGACUUUUACUUUGAAAAAAUUAGAGUGUUCAAAGCAGGCCUUUGCUCGAAUACGUUAGCAUGGAAUAAUAGAAUAGGACGUGCGGUCCUAUUUUGUUGGUUUCUAGGACCGCUGUAAUGAUUAAUAGGGAUAGUCGGGGGCAUCAGUAUUCAAUUGUCAGAGGUGAAAUUCUUGGAUUUAUUGAAGACUAACUACUGCGAAAGCAUUUGCCAAGGAUGUUUUCAUUAAUCAGUGAACGAAAGUUAGGGGAUCGAAGACGAUCAGAUACCGUCGUAGUCUUAACCGUAAACUAUGCCGACUAGGGAUCGGGCGAUGUUUCUUUCUUGACUCGCUCGGCACCUUACGAGAAAUCAAAGUUUUUGGGUUCUGGGGGGAGUAUGGUCGCAAGGCUGAAACUUAAAGAAAUUGACGGAAGGGCACCACCAGGCGUGGAGCCUGCGGGCUUAAUUUGACUCAACACGGGGAAACUCACCAGGUCCAGAUGAAAUAAGGAUUGACAGAUUGAGAGCUCUUUCUUGAUUUUUCAGGUGGUGGUGCAUGGCCGUUCUUAGUUGGUGGAGUGAUUUGUCUGCUUAAUUGCGAUAACGAACGAGACCUUAACCUCCUAAAUAGCCAGCCUAGCUUUGGCUGGUCGCCGGCUUGUUAGAGGGACUAUCGG
rnacentral:rRNA from 1 species